rnacentral:lncRNA from 1 species
CGCCCGGUCAAUAUAUUUGAAGAACAAGUCGAAGAAGAAGACCGUACAACAGCUGGUUUUUUCGCCGUCGAUUUUAUUAUGGAAUGCGAUGAAGUAUGUAAUUGUGUAAUUGUUGCUUAAAUAGUGUAAUUUCUAAACUAUUAGUUCAAUUGACUCUAAUUUUUAAAAUACAACGUCAGCUGCAUAACGUCAUCAUCCAAAUCUAUUAAGACGUUCAACUGUUAUCUUCGCUACCAGAGGUGCCGGAACUCGCAUUGCCAGAAGUGUCAAAGUCCGUCGAGGUGGGGGCACCGGUGGCGGUGGCGGUGGCGGCGGAACCGGAGGUUCCGACGAAAGAGAAGGCGGCGGAGGAAAGAAAGGCAGCAGAACCGGUGGCGGCGGCGGAGGAAAGAAAGGCAGCAGAACCGAUGGCGGCUGCGGAACCGGUGGCGGUGGCGGAAUCGGAGACGACGGGGGCACCAUUGGCGGCGGCAGAAUCGAAAGUUCUGGCGGAAGAUGAGGAGGCGGAAAGGGAGGCGGCGGAAUCGGUGGCAGCGGAACCAAAAGCAUAGGCGGAACCGGAGGUAGAGAGGGGU